rnacentral:lncRNA from 1 species
GACCAUCAGGUGAUGGUCAGGCAGUUGUUAAACUGUCUCUCUAAAGUAAUCAUUGGUUGCAGCUGGUGCCAGGGAAAGACAGUCUCCCAAUAAAUAGAAACACCUGAAGCUGGUGAUCAGCAGCUUCCUGAUAAGAUCUCAGGAGUCGGAUGAGAGGGCUCACACAUGCGCACUAAGAGGCAAAAUGGCAGUCUUUAACUGUUGACAUGACCUCCUUGGAACAUUCAGACUGAGAACUACCUGUAAUUUGAGCGAAAAAAAUCUUCUUUUGGAAACUCCUUAAGAUAUAGUCUGCCUUACUGCACGCUAUUGAGUUCUGGAGGCUGGAGAGUCCAAGGUCAGGAGGCUACAUCUGCUUGGCAUCUGUUGGUUGGAAUGUGGGUAUGGUUGCUGGAGGUGAAAUAGAAAUUCUGAACCAGGAGCACAUUUUGGAAAUGAGGUCACCACUGCACAACAACAGAGUAAAAGAAGUCUGUGUCCUGAAACCGAGAAACACCAUUCCAGUCCUGUAGCUCCUGCCUUAUUUUAACAAGAGACAGAAAGAAAUUCCUAUUUUACCUAAGGCCCUGUUAGUUUGAGCUUUCUCUAACUUUUGGCUGAUACUUAGCAAUCAGCAAGAAACUUUAUGAUUUUGUUUUUGCUCCUAGGUCUACCUGAAUGAAGGAAAAAGGUAUUUUAAUAUUGCAGAUUGAAGUAAUUUAGUUUACAUGACUAUUAUGUUUGGUAGUGUAACAACACAUUAAUAAGAACACAUAAAGUAUUAAAGUCAACACUUACAAUGUUACCUGCCAAAAUUAGCAGGAAGAUGAGUUCCAAAUUAGUCUCAUGAGAUAUAUUGGCUGAAUAACUUACACAUGGAUUCACUCUAUGUGUCCUGAAUCCGUCAAGUUUUCAAGACUGCUAGGCUCAGAGCUAGUCUAGAGUAGAAAAUUCAAUGAAGAAUUUCACUCAGUGAAGCCUCUUGGGUGACAGUCAGCAAACAUUUUCAUGAAUAUAUUCUUAAGCUAUGUGGCUUCUCAAUUUGAAACACUAUCAAUCCCUGGACAAUUAAACGUUGCCUGAAACAUAAGAAUGAAAGCAAGAAUAGCAAUUAACUUUGAAUCCUGAAGAACUGAUAUUAUUCAAGUAAAGGAAGGAAACAGCCAUACCUC